CAACCCUCAGGGCCCCCCAGGGGGACCUGGUGUUGGGGGCCGGCCGCCCGCGCCGCCCCCGAAAUGCAGUGGCGACCCCGCCGCAGCCUCCCCUGCGUAGUAGCACAACCUCGCACCGGAGCGCGGAGGCGGUCACGCCGUAAAACGCCCAACUUUCUCAAG
rnacentral:misc_RNA from 1 species